rnacentral:lncRNA from 1 species
CCAGUGAGGGGCUUUUUUUCAAUGAUUUUGAUCAAGCAUAGUGAAAGAUUUUGAUUCGCGGCCUCGGACAGCGUGUCGACAUCCAUCUUAGUCAAAUUUGAAUACCAUCAAAUUUAAUCUAUUUGAUCUCUAUGGAGCCAAAUUGUAUCUUAAUCUGAUCUUGAUAAAUAAAAUUAUUUGAUCAAAAUAACCUCUGAUCAUGG